AAAGUCGUAACAAGGUUUCCGUAGGUGAACCUGCGGAAGGAUCAUUAACAAAUUCUAUUCCAACCUUUACACCGUGAAUCGCCUUGACCCAAAGGGGCGCAAGCACAGCCUUAAACACUGUGUAAGUGCUCGCCAAGUCUUGGCUAAAAUACUUUAAAGCAGUAGAGAGAGUGACCGUUAGCUUGACUUUGGUUUUGCGCGGCGCGAAUUAAUUUACAACUUUUAACAAUGGAUCUCUUGGCUCUC
rnacentral:misc_RNA from 1 species